GUGAGGAAUUUUCCGCAAUGGGCGAAAGCCUGACGGAGCAAUGCCGCGUGAAGGAUGAAGGCCUAUGGGUUGUAAACUUCUUUUCUCAGAAAAGAAUUAUGACGGUAUCUGAGGAAUAAGCAUCGGCUAACUCUGUGCCAGCAGCCGCGGUAAGACAGAGGAUGCAAGCGUUAUCCGGAAUGAUUGGGCGUAAAGCGUCUGUAGGUUGUUUAAAAAGUAUUCUGUCAAAGAUUAGGGCUUAACCCUAGAUAGGCAGAAUAAACUUUUAAGCUAGAGUUUGGUAGGGGCAGAGGGAAUUCCCGGUGGAGCGGUGAAAUGCGUAGGUAUCGAGAGGAACACCAAAGGCGAAGGCACUCUGCUGGGCCAAUACUAACACUGAGAGACGAAAGCGAGGGGAGCAAAUGGGAUUAGAUACCCGGGUAGUCC
rnacentral:rRNA from 1 species